UACGUAGGGGGCUAGCGUUGUCCGGAUUUAUUGGGCGUAAAGAGCGUGUAGGCGGCUGGGUAGGUCUGCUGUGAAAACUCGAGGCUCAACCUCGAGACGUCGGUGGAAACCAUCUGGCUAGAGUCCGGAAGAGGAGAGUGGAAUUCCUGGUGUAGCGGUGAAAUGCGCAGAUAUCAGGAAGAACACCGGUGGCGAAGGCGGCCCGCUGGGACGGUACUGACGCUCAGACGCGAAAGCGUGGGGAGCGAACAGG
rnacentral:rRNA from 1 species